GCAAAAUAAUGUCAAAGCAACUCUGUAACCUAAAUCCGACUGAAGGAAUAAGAAGAAUGAUACUGUUGGCAUUUUUUGUGGAGUUGCAUGGAGUGAGUGUUUCUGCACAGCAUGUAAAACGGCCUAGUGACCGUAAUGACAUAAGUGAGCUCUGAGCAAUAAGAGAUUUGAAGGACGCUGAGAGAACCACCAGCUGUAAAUCCAGGAGCCAGAACUGGACUGUUUCUGCCCAUCAAAACCAAUCCUGUCUGGAGACAGUUAAUGGGAGUGCCACAUUCUGAGGCAGGAAAGCAGAGAGCCUCAUUACAACUAAUUAAGACAUGCAGAUGGGAG